rnacentral:rRNA from 1 species
UACGGAGGGGGCUAGCGUUGUUCGGAAUUACUGGGCGUAAAGCGCACGUAGGCGGCUUUGCAAGUUAGAGGUGAAAGCCCAGGGCUUAACCCUGGAAUUGCCUUUAAAACUGCAUCGCUAGAAUUGUGGAGAGGUAAGUGGAAUUCCGAGUGUAGAGGUGAAAUUCGUAGAUAUUCGGAAGAACACCAGUGGCGAAGGCGGCUUACUGGUCCGGAACUGACGCUGAGGUGCGAAAGCGUGGGGAGCAAACAGG